GCAGGGGCCCUGCGCAAGCCUCCUCUUUGGGCUGUGUCAGUUUUCACAGCUGCAGGGUCUGCACCUCGCAAAGGCUGUUCCCUGCUGCAGGGAUCAGGCAGCUCCUGGUUUUGGUCCCUGGUCCCAAAACAGUUUGACUGUGCUGCAUGGAAGAGGUCAGAAAGUCGCACUGGUGCUUGUUGUCCUCUCCUGGAGAGCUAUGGUUAUUUUUUUUUCCAGCACAGCAGCUGGAAAACAGGAAAAGCAAUAAGAGCUGUUGGCUGCUCCUUUCUAUGGCCAUCCCUUCUAGAGGUCACUGAUUACCCACAGCUGGCUACUCUAGAGCCUGUUCCCCGUGUCCCCUGGGUCAGCACGCUGCUUUCUCACAUGGUCCAGAGUAACAGCACUGCACAAAGCAACCAUUCGAAAUUAAUGAACUGCAUCCUGAAACAUUAGCAAACAAGCUGCGGGCCUUCCCUCCUCGCUGCAACAGGAAAGUCAGCCAGCAAGUCCAAGAAAUGCUCGGGUACUCCCCAUUCCUUUCUUCUGCCUCCCGCCUACCCGUGAGCCACAGCCCUUUCAUUGGAAACCACAGCAUAAUACAGACCAGGGAAAUCUUCAAAGCUGCAGC
rnacentral:lncRNA from 1 species